rnacentral:rRNA from 1 species
GACGAACGCUGGCGGCGUGCUUAACACAUGCAAGUCGAACGGAAAGGCCCUGCUUUUGUGGGGUGCUCGAGUGGCGAACGGGUGAGUAACACGUGAGUAACCUGCCCUUGACUUUGGGAUAACUUCAGGAAACUGGGGCUAAUACCGGAUAGGAGCUCCUGCUGCAUGGUGGGGGUUGGAAAGUUUCGGCGGUUGGGGAUGGACUCGCGGCUUAUCAGCUUGUUGGUGGGGUAGUGGCUUACCAAGGCUUUGACGGGUAGCCGGCCUGAGAGGGUGACCGGCCACAUUGGGACUGAGAUACGGCCCAGACGCCUACGGGAGGCAGCAGUGGGGAAUAUUGCACAAUGGGCGGAAGCCUGAUGCAGCAACGCCGCGUGCGGGAUGACGGCCUUCGGGUUGUAAACCGCUUUCGCCUGUGACGAAGCGUGAGUGACGGUAAUGGGUAAAGAAGCACCGGCUAACUACGG